ACUCCUACGGGAGGCAGCAGUCGGGGAAUAUUUGCACAAUGGGGGAAACCCUGAUGCAGCCAUGCCGCGUGUGUGAAGGAAGGCCUUCGGGUUGUAAAGCACUUUCAGUAGGGAGGAAGGUAGUGUAGUUAACACCUGCAUUCAUUUGACGUUAGCUGCAGAAGAAGCACCGGCUAACUCCGUGCCAGCAGCCGCGGUAAUACGGAGGGUGCGAGCGUUAAUCGGAAUUACUGGGCGUAAAGCGCAUGCAGGCGGCCUGUUAAGUCAGAUGUGAAAGCCCGGGGCUUAACCUCGGAAUUGC
rnacentral:rRNA from 1 species